rnacentral:rRNA from 1 species
AUUGAACGCUGGCGGCAGGCCUAACACAUGCAAGUCGGGCGCGCGGCGGCCGGGUGAGUAAUGUAUGGGGAUCUGUCUGAUGGAGGGGGAUAACUACUGGAAACGGUAGCUAAUACCGCAUACCAUCAGCUGAACCCAUAUGGGAUUAGCUGGUAGGUAAGGUAACGGCUUACCUAGGCGACGAUCCCUAGCUGGUCUGAGAGGAUGCUCAGCCACACUGGGACUGAGACACGGCCCAGACCCCUACGGGAGGUAGCAGUGGGGAAUAUUCCACAAUGGGCGCAAGCCUGAUGCAGCCAUGCCGCGUGUAUGAAGAAGGCCUUCGGGUUGUAAAGUACUUUCAGUCGGGAGGCGUUACCGACAGAAGAAGCACCGGUUAACUCCGGGCCAGCAGCAGCGGUAAUA